rnacentral:rRNA from 1 species
GAUGAACGCUGGCGGCGUGCUUAACACAUGCAAGUCGAACGGAAAGGCCCAAGCUUGCUUGGGUACUCGAGUGGCGAACGGGUGAGUAACACGUGGGUGAUCUGCCCUGCACUUCGGGAUAAGCCUGGGAAACUGGGUCUAAUACCGGAUAGGACCACUUCUUGGAUGUUGUUGUGGAAAGUUUUUUCGGUGUGGGAUGAGCUCGCGGCCUAUCAGCUUGUUGGUGGGGUAAUGGCCUACCAAGGCGUCGACGGGUAGCCGGCCUGAGAGGGUGUACGGCCACAUUGGGACUGAGAGACGGACCAGACUCCUACGGGAGGCAGCAGUGGGGAAUAUUGCACAAUGGGCGCAAGCCUGAUGCAGCGACGCCGCGUGGGGGAUGACGGGCUUCGGGUUGUAAACUCCUUUCGCUAGGGACGAAGCGUUUUGUGACGGUACCUGGAGAAGAAGCACCGGCUAACUACGUG